rnacentral:rRNA from 1 species
UACGUAGGGUGCAAGCGUUGUCCGGAAUUAUUGGGCGUAAAGAGCUCGUAGGCGGUCUGUCGCGUCUGCUGUGAAAGUCCGGGGCUCAACUCCGGAUCUGCGGUGGGUACGGGCAGACUAGAGUGAUGUAGGGGGAGACUGGAAUUCCUGGUGUAGCGGUGGAAUGCGCAGAUAUCAGGAAGAACACCGGUGGCGAAGGCGGCUCUCUGGGGCCU